CCAUCGGUGGUUCAGUGGUAGAAUCCUCGCCUUCCGUGAUGGAGAUCCAGGUUCAAAUCCUGGCCAAGGCA
rnacentral:tRNA from 1 species